UUCUCCUGGGAAACGGGUGGUAAUGCCGGAUGCUCCAGUUGAUCGCAUGGUCUUCUGGGAAAGCUUUCGCGGUAUGGGAUGGGGUCGCGUCCUAUCAGCUUGACGGCGGGGUAACGGCCCACCGUGGCUUCGACGGGUAGCCGGCCUGAGAGGGCGACCGGCCACAUUGGGACUGAGAUACGGCCCAGACUCCUACGGGAGGCAGCAGUGGGGAAUAUUGCACAAUGGGCGCAAGCCUGAUGCAGCGACGCCGCGUGAGGGAUGGAGGCCUUCGGGUUGUAAACCUCUUUUAUCGGGGAGCAAGCGAGAGUGAGUUUACCCGUUGAAUAAGCACCGGCUAACUACGUGCCAGCAGCCGCGGUAAUACGUAGGGUGCAAGCGUUAUCCGGAAUUAUUGGGCGUAAAGGGCUCGUAGGCGGUUCGUCGCGUCCGGUGUGAAAGUCCAUCGCUUAACGGUGGAUCCGCGCCGGGUACGGGCGGGCUUGAGUGCGGUAGGGGAGACUGGAAUUCCCGGUGUAACGGUGGAAUGUGUAGAUAUCGGAAAAGAACACCA
rnacentral:rRNA from 1 species